rnacentral:ncRNA from 1 species
GGGGUAGAGGUUGCGAUGUUUAAUAGUACAUAAACAGAGAGACAGAAAACUCAAAGACGUUUAUGGAAAGGAACCAUCGCCGAAGUGCUAUAGUUUUCUGGCUAUAGUGAACUGGGGCUACAUCAUAAUAGGUGUAGAACUGUCAUAGUUUAAAUGCUAUGAAGAGCUAUC